AGCAGCCGCGGUAAUUCUAGCUCCAAUAGCGUAUAUUAAAGUUGUUGCAGUUAAAAAGCUCGUAGUUGAAUUUCGGGAUUAAUAUGUUGGUCGUGCCUUGGUACGUACUGGCAUUAUUGAUUCCUACCUUCUGAAGAACCUCGAUGUCAUUAAUUUGGUGUCUUGGGGAAUCAGGACCGUUACUUUGAAAAAAUUAGAGUGUUUAAAGCAGGCUCGCGCUUGAAUACAUUAGCAUGGAAUAAUGAAAUAGGACGUUUGAUUCUAUUUUGUUGGUUUCUAGGAUCGACGUAAUGAUUAAUAGGGAUAGUUGGGGGCAUUAGUAUUCAAUUGUCAGAGGUGAAAUUCUUGGAUUUAUUGAAGACUGACUACUGCGAAAGCAUUUGCCAAGGAUGUUUUCAUUAAUCAAGAACGAAAGUUAGGGGAUCGAAGACGAUCAGAUACCGUCGUAGUCUUAACCAUAAACUAUGCCGACUAGGGAUCGGAUGAUGUAAUUUUUAAUGA
rnacentral:rRNA from 1 species